GUCCCAUCAGCUAGUUGGUGAGGUAACGGCUCACCAAGGCUAAGACGGGUAGCUGGUCUGAGAGGAUGAUCAGCCACACUGGGACUGCGACACGGCCCAGACUCCUACGGGAGGCAGCAGUGGGGAAUAUUGGGCAAUGGGCGAAAGCCUGACCCAGCCACGCCGCGUGAGUGAUGAAGGCCUUCGGGUCGUAAAGCUCUGUGGGGAGGGACGAACAAGCUUGGGGCUAAUCACCCAGGCCCUGACGGUACCUCCUUAGCAAGCACCGGCUAACCCUGUGCCAGCAGCCGCGGUAAUACAGGGGGUGCAAACGUUGCUCGGAAUCAUUGGGCGUAAAGCGCACGUAGGCGGUUCGUUAUGUCGGAUGUAAAAGCCCUUGGCUUAACCGAGGAAGUGCAUCCGAAACUGGCGAGCUAGAGUACGAAAGAGGAUCGCGGAAUUCCCGGUGUAGAGGUGAAAUUCGUAGAUAUCGGGAGGAACACCGGUGGCGAAGGCGGCGAUCUGGAUCGAUACUGACGCUGAGUGCGAAAGCGUGGGGAGCA
rnacentral:rRNA from 1 species